AAAAAUACUUCUCAUUCCAUUAUUAAGUAGACAAAUUAACCAAAUAAAAAAAUAAAAUUCAAGCUCCAUUCACUUUUAUAAAUGAAGUAAAAACACUUUUAUUUUUUUUUUUUUAAGAGAGUAAGUUAUUUAUUAAAUUUCAGGAAAAAUUUAGUAUGAACAUGCUCAAAUAAAGCCCUAGUUAAUAGACCAUUCCAUACCCCUAAUCUAGAAAAUGACAUGAUAAGUGAAAAAACAGAGAAAUGAGUACAAACCAAGAUAAGAUCGCAAAAAAUAACAGCCAAAAUAAUCUAGCCAAGGGUUGACGAAAUCAAGCAAAGGAUAGCCAGGGUGAACAAAUAAACAGAACGACAUUAAAAAAAACAAAAAAAGCUAACAUGAAAACAAGACCCAAAUCUUGGUGAAGAGCCCAGCAGUAGCAACAUCAGUACACAAAGAAACACAUCUCAAAACACUUAAAAGAUUGGAAAGCACAAACACACUUCACCUGGUGACUCCAUGCUGCUAGCAGAGUUUACAGCUCUGAAUUGAAACAAAACAAAAGCAUAACAAAAUUUUAACAUGUCGGAAUUUGCUACAAUACAAGGAUUAAUCCCUUGCUUGAGUUUCCAAGUUUAUUCUACAAGGAUAUGCUUAAGCUUAACUAUCGCGAAUAAGGCAGGAUGAGCUAGGAACAGAAACAAAUUAUUUUAAGUAUUCCUUAUGCUUCUCUAAGUAAGAAUAAUGACGCUGGAAGUUAAUUACUGACCACACCACGUGUCGGAGACCAAUCUCUGGCCACAGUGCAUGAGGAGAAUACAGUAUGCAAUUAGUAGUCUGCCAAAGUAGGUAGUUGCUCAGACGGGUCUCCCCAGAAGUUCGAAUCAAGACAUCAGGAUGAGGAUUUAUGUAAGUGUUUCUCUCAAGCUCUACAAGUUUUAUUUCAGAAUAUGGCUCCAUCUCCUCAAUUUUAAUCACACAAUCUCCGUUUCCAUCGUUGCAAAUUUCAUUGGAUUUCAAUUUAUCCUUAGAGGAUUCUUCAACAGCAUGCACGAUCUCAUCAGUUGAAGUGUAGCAUACAGCAAGGAGAAGCACAAAUUUGGAAUUUUUGGCAGUAGCCCUCAUAAUCUUAUCUGCUGCGGUCUUGAGUGGCUCAUCUAAAAGCUUCAGAUUACCAACAAAACGCACGCAAAUAUCAUAUGCAUUGAUGAUACUUUCUUCCAUGAUCAUCCCUUCAAUCUUCUCCAGCAUUAGAUUCAUUACGUACUGAACCUCAUGAGGUUUCCUUCGAAAAUUAUCGAUGCUAAAGGCAUAGAUAGUCGCAUAUUUCACUCCUAACUCAUAGCAAUAAGUUAGCACGUUCAGAAGAGCUAAAAAUCCAGCCUUAUGACCACCUCCUUCUGGCAGUUUAUGCUUCUUAGCAAACCUCCUGUUUCCAUCCAAUAUGAAGGCAAGAUGAGUAGGGAUGGGACCCUGGGUUAGGAUGCCAUAUAACCCUUUUCUCAUAUACUUCCCUAAAAGUCUGAACACACUUGGCCUCUCACCGGUGUAUAAUUCCAUUUUACUUAAACCACUGACUUAACCUGCUCAUCAGAAAAAAAAUAUAAAAAUAAAAUCUCAGAUCCAAUAACUAAAUUAAGUUGAUUAUUUCGGAGGUGACACUAAAUCAAGUGGUAUCUUUCGUUAAUAUAUAUUUAAGUUUUUUUAACCUUAAAAGACUACUUGAUACUGCUGUGAGUACUUUGACCAAUGAGCAUUAACCCAGUAGUAUUGAAAUCAUUUCAUAAACUAUAAAGUCUAGAGUUCGACUUUCAAUUGAAACCAAUUAUACUAAAAAAAGGAGGGACUUUGGUCAUGUUGAGAGUUGAUCAAAGGUCUAUUUAUCAACAAAUUAAGUAUAUACUAAUGUAUGAAAAAUUUUUAACCUAGUUAAAGGAUAUUGAAUAUGUCAUGGUUUUAUUUUAAAUUUUUUUGAUACGCACAAGAAUAUUUUUUAUUUAAAAUUGUUAUUAAGAAGUUAUUGGAUAUAAGCAACUCUAAACACUAGUAACUAAAAAUUAUGCGAUACCCAAAUCCUAGAACAAACUAGCCAGGAUACU
rnacentral:misc_RNA from 1 species